GAAGAAGGUCUUCGGAUCGUAAAGCUCUGUUGUUGGUGAAGAAGGAUAGAGGCAGUAACUGGUCUUUAUUUGACGGUAAUCAACCAGAAAGUCACGGCUAACUACGUGCCAGCAGCCGCGGUAAUACGUAGGUGGCAAGCGUUGUCCGGAUUUAUUGGGCGUAAAGCGAGCGCAGGCGGAAUGAUAAGUCUGAUGUGAAAGCCCACGGCUCAACCGUGGAACUGCAUCGGAAACUGUCAUUCUUGAGUGCAGAAGAGGAGAGUGGAACUCCAUGUGUAGCGGUGGAAUGCGUAGAUAUAUGGAAGAACACCAGUGGCGAAGGCGGCUCUCUGGUCUGCAACUGACGCUGAGGCUCGAAAGCAUGGGUAGCGAACAGGAUUAGAUACCCUGGUAGUCCAUGCCGUAAACGAUGAGCGCUAGGUGUUGGGGACUUUCCGGUCCUCAGUGCCGCAGCAAACGCAUUAAGCGCUCCGCCUGGGGAGUACGACCGCAAGGUUGAAACUCAAAGGAAUUGACGGGGGCCCGCACAAGCGGUGGAGCAUGUGGUUUAAUUCGAAGCAACGCGAAGAACCUUACCAGGUCUUGACAUCCUGCGCUACACCUAGAGAUAGGUGGUUCCCUUCGGGGACG
rnacentral:rRNA from 1 species